UGGCGACCGGCGCACGGGUGAGUAACACGUAUCCAACCUGCCGAUAACUCCGGAAUAGCCUUUACGAAAGAAAGAUUAAUACCGGAUGGCAUACGAAUAUCGCAUGAUAUUUUUAUUAAAGAAUUUCGGUUAUCGAUGGGGAUGCGUUCCAUUAGUUUGUUGGCGGGGUAACGGCCCACCAAGGCGACGAUCCCUAGCUGGUCUGAGAGGAUGACCAGCCACACUGGAACUGAGACACGGUCCAGACUCCUACGGGAGGCAGCAUG
rnacentral:rRNA from 1 species